rnacentral:misc_RNA from 1 species
GAUGAAGAACGCAGCGAAAUGCAAUACGUAAUGUGAAUUGCAGAAUUCAGUGAAUCAUCAAAUCUUUGAACGCAUAUUGCGCUCUCUGGUAUUCCGGAGAGCAUGCUUGUUUGAGUAUCAGUAAACACCUCAACUUCCAUAUCUUUUUUGAAAUGGGAGUUGGACUUGAGUGAUCCCAACGCUUUUCCUCACCGAAAAGUGGCGGGUUACUUGAAAUGCAGGUGCAGCUGGACUUUUCUCUGAGCUAUAAGCAUAUCUAUUUAGUCUGCCUAAAAAACAGAUUAUUACCUUUGCUGCAGCUAACAUAAAGGAGAUUAGUUCUUGUGCUGACUGAUGCAGGAUUCACAAAGACGGCUUCGGCCGACUUUGUAAACUCGAUCUCAAAUCAAGUAAGACUACCCGCUGAACUUAAGCAUAUCAAUAAGCGGAGGA